ACCUUGCCCAGUCUCUGAGGACAACAGCAGUGUAUCGCUUCUCGGCCUUUUGGCUAAGAUCAAGUGGACAACAGCAGUGGUUGGGGUAGGGCUCCUGGUCUAGGUGCCUAGAAGUUCCUCAGGG
rnacentral:miRNA from 1 species